rnacentral:rRNA from 1 species
GAUACGAGUUUGAUCAUGGCUCAGAACGAACGCUGGCGGCAUGCCUAACACAUGCAAGUCGAACGAAGGCUUCGGCCUUAGUGGCGCACGGGUGCGUAACGCGUGGGAACCUGCCCCUCGGUUCGGAAUAACAGUUAGAAAUGACUGCUAAAUACCGGAUGAUGACUUCGGUCCAAAGAUUUAUCGCCGAGGGAUGGGCCCGCGUAGGAUUAGCUAGUUGGUGGGGUAAAGGCCUACCAAGGCGACGAUCCUUAGCUGGUCUGAGAGGAUGAUCAGCCACACUGGGACUGAGACACGGCCCAGACUCCUACGGGAGGCAGCAGUGGGGAAUAUUGGACAAUGGGCGAAAGCCUGAUCCAGCAAUGCCGCGUGAGUGAUGAAGGCCUUAGGGUUGUAAAGCUCUUUUACCAGGGAUGAUAAUGACAGUACCUGGAGAAUAAGCUCCGGCUAACUCCGUG